rnacentral:rRNA from 1 species
UUCCGGUUGAUCCCGCCGGACCUGACUGCUAUCGGAUUGAUACUAAGCCAUGCGAGUCAUUGUAGCAAUACAAGGCAGACGGCUCAGUAACGCGUAGUCAACCUAACCUAUGGACGGGAAUAACCUCGGGAAACUGAGAAUAAUGCCCGAUAGAACACUAUACCUGGAAUGGUUUGUGUUCCAAAUGAUUUAUCGCCAUAGGAUGGGACUGCGGCCUAUCAGUUUGUUGGUGAGGUAAUGGCCCACCAAGACUAUUACAGGUACGGGCUCUGAGAGGAGUAGCCCGGAGAUGGGUACUGAGACACGGACCCAGGCCCUAUGGGGCGCAGCAGGCGAGAAAACUUUGCAAUGUGCGAAAGCACGACAAGGUUAAUCCGAGUGAUUUGUGCUAAACGAAUCUUUUGUUAGUCCUAGAAACACUAACGAAUAAGGGGUGGGCAAGUUCUGGUGUCAGCCGCCGCGGUAAAACCAGCACCUCAAGUGGUCAGGAUGAUUAUUGGGCCUAAAGCAUCCGUAGCCGGCUCUGUAAGUUUUCGGUUAAAUCUGUACGCUCAACGUACAGGCUGCCGGGAAUACUGCAGAGCUAGGGAGUGGGAGAGGUAGACGGUACUCGGUAGGAAGGGGUAAAAUCCUUUGAUCUAUUGAUGACCACCUGUGGCGAAGGCGGUCUACCAGAACACGUCCGACGGUGAGGGCUGAAAGCUGGGGGAGCAAACCGGAUUAGAUACCCGGGUAGUCCCAGCUGUAAACUAUGCAAACUCAGUGAUGCAUUGACUUGUGGUCAAUGCAGUGCUGCAGGGAAGCCGUUAAGUUUGCCGCCUGGGAAGUACGUACGCAAGUAUGAAACUUAAAGGAAUUGGCGGGGGAGCACC